CGACGCACGCGCCGUCGCGGCUCGCGCUUUCCCUCUCGCUUUUACUUUUAUUUUCUGUUCUCCUCGCGGUGUUUCGUUUCCGUCCGUUUACGUUGUCUUUUGUUUUUGCAGCGGCGUCCCUCUCGCUCCAUCUCUGUCACACACCCCGCCGGCCUGCUGCGUGUUGUUAUUGUUGCCGUACCUUCCCGCCGCUACCUCUACCACCGCCACUGACGCAGCCGCUCGGUUUUGUAAACAAAAUAGCAGGUAUCAGAGGUAUACUCCGCCGUGUAGCUGCUCGCUCUCGCGCCCGGCUGUCCGUGUAAAUACGCUCCGCGGAGAAAACUGCGGGGUAAAAAAACAAUACGAAAUUGAACAAAACAGAAAAAAGACGACAAGGGAAAGUGCUUCAGCUGUGACCGACGAGAGAAAAAAAUAGAGAAGAAUAUUGUUAAGCCUGUGCUGUGUUGGAGCAAACCGCACAGGUGUUUUCGAGUGAAUGUGUUUCAGCAGUGUUUACUGAAUAAGCGUGUGGAAAUAUCAGUGCCUGUUCCUUCCUUCCUUCCUUCUACGAAUUCUUGCUACUGGGCAGUUGAUUUCAGAGAUACGCAACACGCAGCCAAAGGUUUCGCGUGACUGAGCUGCAGAAGAAGAAGAGGUCACCGGAAGGUUCGCGUGGACUGUUCAGCAUUGUUCCAGCAGCGGCAAAUAAUAGGAGCCCCUCCAACAAAAACUGACAAUAUCCAGUGUGAAGUCGCGUGUUCGUCUCCGCUGUGCUGUGCGCCGCUGCCACCUCGUCGUCCUGCUUCGUCGUCCGUCUGC